rnacentral:lncRNA from 1 species
CUGGUUUUGAUUCUUCUUCGUCUUCUUCAUCAACCUCUAGGAGACUCGUGUAGGUACGUACGUAGCUUUGAAUCUCUUCUUGCGUAACCUAAAAUCUUGUAGAUUCCUCUUGAGAGUGAAGCAUUCUCGAGUGAAGAAAUCGCUUGUUUCUCUCGUUUUCUUUCUUCUGUACUGAUUUCAACGCAAACAACAAGCAAUAAGAUCAAGAUCUUACCUGAAUCAAUCACUACAUAGAGCUAUCUAUUUUGCUUUUGAUUACGAUUUUAGACUCAAACUUGUAUUUGAUUUAGUGACAUUUGUUGUUGUCUUUUUGCUUCGUAGCAUUGAGUUUAGCUUAGGAUUGGCUUUUAAUAGAGUUUCUAUUUGAGUGGAAUUGUCAUAUAGAAUUGAUGUCUAGUUAGUGUUUGAUGAAAUUCCUCUGAGAGUGUGUAAUAAGCUUUCUUCUUCAAGAUUGGUAGAUUUGAUAAAUAUUUUUUUUUGGUUUUUCAAGAAUCUGUUAGUUUAAUUGCUUGUGGUUGUAGAUAAAAUGUCACAGAAUGCUUGAUUGGCAUGCUUCUAUGAAUGGCUUCGGGGAGGAGAGAAGGCCAUGCUUGAUUGGCAUGCUUCUGUGACCAAAGAUUCUACUAACAAGGACCAGAAUCCACAAAUGCAGUCUCCUCCAUCACUUGAGGAACCAGAUCCAAAGAGACAA